GGAUGAAUAUUGGUCAAUGGGCGAGAGCCUGAACCAGCCAAGUCGCGUGAGGGAUGACGGCCCUACGGGUUGUAAACCUCUUUUAUAAGGGAAUAAAGGACAUCACGUGUGUUGUUUUGCAUGUACCUUAUGAAUAAGCAUCGGCUAACUCCGUGCCAGCAGCCGCGGUAAUACGGAGGAUGCGAGCGUUAUCCGGAUUCAUUGGGUUUAAAGGGUGCGUAGGUUGCCGAUUAAGUCAGCGGUGAAAGUCAGUGGCUCAACCAUUGAACUGCCGUUGAAACUGGUUGGCUUGAGUACGUACGGGGCGAGGCGGAAUGCGUGGUGUAGCGGUGAAAUGCAUAGAUAUCACGCAGAACCCCGAUCGCGAAGGCAGCCUGCCCGGCCGUGACUGACACUGA
rnacentral:rRNA from 1 species